UACGUAGGGACCGAGCGUUGUCCGGAAUCAUUGGGCGUAAAGAGCGUGUAGGCGGCCACUUAAGUCCUGCGUGAAAUCUUGCGGCUCAACCGCAAGCGGUCGUGGGAAACUGGGUGGCUAGAGUGCGGGAGAGGAGAGUGGAAUUCCUGGUGUAGCGGUGGAAUGCGCAGAUAUCAGGAAGAACACCCGUGGCGAAGGCGGCUCUCUGGAACGCAACUGACGCUGAGACGCGAAAGCGUGAGGAGCAAACAGG
rnacentral:rRNA from 1 species